rnacentral:rRNA from 1 species
ACGCUCGACACCUACGGGGGGCAGCAGUGGGGAAUAUUGCACAAUGGGGGAAACCCGUGAUGCAGCGACGCCGCGUGGAGGAAGAAGGUCUUCGGAUUGUAAACUCCUGUUGUUGGGGAAAAAGAGGAUGGUACCCAACAAGGAAGUGACGGCUAACUACGUGCCAGCGCGCGACGUAUNGNGGCGGNGNGAGAG